ACGCAUGCGUGCAGGAUCCCUGGGCAUAGUCGCUUGUUCUCCGCCCGCGGUGGACCAGCUGCGUAACGGUUCACACACUGAUGGCGCCUGGAGGUUUGGCGAAAUACUGACAGGAUGCGACGUCAACGGGAGCGCAGGGCCAAGAUACCCUUUAUAUCAAACCGUCUAUCCUGGAGCAGAAAAAUCCUGUCUUCAUUGCUAUAGCUACAGAUUCAGAAAUGAGCAUGUAACAAAUUCAGGCCAAAGAGAGGUCCUAAGCUUCCCUGAUGGUAUUUGGCAUCUGUUUUUAAGAAAAGGAUGAAGGCCGGUCACAUUGGCUCACGACUGUAAUCCCAGCACUUUGGGAGGCCCAGGCGGGCAGAGGACUUGAGGGCCUAAACCCGGCCAACAUGACGAAACCCCAUCUCUACUAAAAAUACAAAACUUAGCCAGGCGUGGCAGUGCUCACCAGCUACUUGGGAGGUUGAGGCACAAGAAUUGCUUGAACCCAGGAGGCAGAGGUUGCAGUGAGCUGAGAUUGUGCCACUGCACUGUACUCCAGCCUGAGCAACAGAGCAUCCAAGAGGAUGCUGAUGCUCUUGGCAAUGGAAAUCAGAGAAACACUGUUCCUGAAAGCUUCUGUCACUCAAGAAUCCAUGAAACAUUCAUGAACUUCACAUCAGAGUCCUCAGAAGGGAAGAUAGUGUUAAUGUAGAAUUGAUAACACAGAAUGCACCACUGCUGUGAUCCUUAUAUCUUGGCUGGCCAUUACCCCUCCACUUGGAAAUGAAAAAGAUAAACUAAUUGAAGCAGUGAGAAGAGAAAAAGGGAGAGGAAGGUUCCUCUUUGCCUUCAACCAUGAGUAACAGCUCCCUGAGGCCUCCCCAGAAGCUGAGUAAUGCUGGUGCCAUUCUUACACAGCCUGCAGAACCAGGCCAAGGACAAUUUGAUGCCACCAUUUCUUCUGGAUCAGUUACCAUUAGUGACCUAUAAAUAUGGUGAAAUAAGUUACUAUUACCCUGAGGCAGCAAGGAUUUUAGGACUCAGACUCCGUCUUUCUGCCCUUCGUCCUAUCUCACCUUAAUGGAACGGAAUGCCUCAGUACAUUUUGUGACAACCUAUAUAGCUUGAUGGGUCUGGGAUACACGUGCAGGACAUGCAGGUUUUAUUACAUAGGUAUACAUGUGCCAUGGUGGUUGCUGAACCUAUCAACCCAUCAUCUACAUUAGGUGCUAUUGUGGAGGUGCAUACCCAACAGUUUGAUAAUGUAGAGGAAGUGAUAGCUUUGUCUCGUGGAAUCUGGGUCGACCUCACAGAGGAGCUGUUAUUUGUUCUGGAUAUUGAACAGUGACAAGGAUUCAGUGGGAGAGAAAGAGGCGAGGAUUUUAAUGCAACUUGUUACACAAGAUGAACCCAAACAUAUUUGACUUUUUAUUUUCAGAAAAGCUUAAUACAUAGUUUUGAAUAUGGAUUGUCCCACAGGAUAAAUGCAUGAAAAAAGUUGGAAAAGAGAAAUUGAAUUACAUCCUAAUUGUAGUGUUUUCUCAGGCAGAUCAAUUUUAGAAAGAGAACAUUGACUUGGAAAACUGAAGAGUAAUUAUUCUAAAACGGUUGUAACAGUUUACUCCUUUUAUGUUUGCAAACUUCCAGGAUUAGUGAGUUGCAUAAAGUCACAUAAUUUAUUGCGUUGGUGCAAAAGUAAUUGUGGUUUUUGCCAUUAACAAAACCGCAAUUACUUUUGCAUCAGCCUAAUAUAAGUGAAUAAAUUAAUAUUAGAACACAGGUCUAAUUAAAAGGUUCUGCUGUGUUGUGUCCUGUGAUAACACAGAAAACAAACAAAUGGAUAAUUACAGAAAAAUUUUGGAUAUAAAAUUAGCAGGUAAUUUUCUCCCUCCUUUCCUUCCAUCUUUCCAUCCUUCUUUGCUUCCUUUGCUUUCUUCUUUUCCUUUGUUUUUUGUUUCUCUCUCUCUCUUUUUUUUUUUUUUUUUUUUUUUUUGCAAUUUGGAGAAGGAAGUACUUUAAAAGAAAAGUUAAAAGGCAGACAUAGAUAGCAUGAAGCCUAAUUGCAAGAUCUUUUUCAAACAUAUUAGUUUUAGGAAAUAGCACCUGAAUUUAAGUCCCUUAAAAUUGUCUAUGUCUUCACGUCCAAGUCUCUAUAUUUGCAGGGCUGUGUACAAUCUAGACUGAACAUGCUUGACCUAAAAACAGAAGUAAUACCUGGGGCAAAGCACGAUGUGCACCACAGUCUUCUCUCUUUAGUGUGUUAAGAUAAAGUUGAUUCCCAGAGUAGCCUGCCAUCACUAACUCUGAGGGAUGGUGGGCUAAUUUUGAUAGAAGGAGCAGAGGUGGUAGUUAGGAGGAAGGUGACUCAUCAUCAUUGUAUCAGCAGGCAUUGAUGACUGGAAAUAUCAGGGGGCACAGCCUGAAAGAGAAUGGCUUAAUUGGAAUUGAUAGUGGGAACUUGGAAAUCAAUACAUAUGCACUGAACAGAAAAUGGUAUGCUAUAAUCUACUAUACACUGUAUGUGAAACCCAAGCUCCAAAUUUUUCGGCCCAUGCAAUGUCCAGUAAAAUUUCUCUUAGUUACAUUAUAAUUGCAAUGUACAUGUAUUUGAGGAAAAAAAAAGUGAAAGAAAAAGUAACUAAAGAAAAGUGGAAAUGCAAAACUUUGUUUUUAUUAAUGUUAAAAUUUAUUUUGAUCAACUUGCUAUUCUUAAAAUUGACCAAUCUUCUUCCCUUCCUUGCCUCUUCCAUGGUUUAUAGGAUUAUUUUUCAGGGCUGAUCAGUUGGUGUUACAUGUGACUACUAUGCUUAAUGCUAUCUGGCUUCUAACUUUAAGCACUGAAAAAAAGUCCUUCGUAUUUCUCAGUGUGUGAUUGAACUGAGAUGACCAUCCUAAGCCUCCUCAUUACAUAAAUCCUUACCUUCUCCAGAAGCAACGAAUGGUGUUGAGAAUAGCAUAUGUUACUACUCAGCCAUAUUCCAUAGCCUUUUCUCCAAGAUAUUUUUCCAAAGUUGCCCCUUUUCUGAAUCCCUUGCAAGCAAACAAACAACAAAACAAUGGGUAAUAAAAUAAUUGUUUAACUUUCAUUUAUAUGCUCUGAGAUUGAUGUGAUUUUGAUAAAUAACUAUAUUAAAAGACAAAUGGGAGUGGUGAUUUUGUGAAAAGCCCAUGCCUCUGCCCAUGGAAUAUGUGGCUUGGCCUGGAGCUCUUAUUUUACUUAUAUAUUUCUAAGCAGAAUUAUUCAAGAAUGUCUCUUAUUACAGGUCUUGAAACUUGGACAGCCAACAGAAAGGAAGCUAAUAAAUAAAUUUGUCAGAACACGAUUCUCAGUUUCACUUAUUUUGAAUUAAAGGUAACCUGGAAAAUGGAUUAGGAAAACAGCCUAUAAUCAGAGGAGUGACCCCAGUGAGACCCUGUCAUUAAAACUUUAGUGUUGAGCCUGCAAACCUCUGUUCCUCUGAUUAGGCAAUUUACUCCAUUUCCACCUUUCUGUCUGCCAAAACAUUUAGUGGCAAAACAUUUUCUAAUUCUCUAGACUCAUAAAAUGUUGUUUUGAAAAAAAGUAAAACAGAAUGGAUUACCUUUUUAAGCUGUCUAUCAUAAUGUAAUCAGAAAACAUGAGGGAUUAAUAGAUAAUAUUGUAAAGAGGCAAAGGCAGCAGAUGUUAUUUAGAUGAGCAGAAGGUCACAGACCUCUGUUGAGGAUUGAAAGCUUGAGGUACGUGCCUUUGUUCCUCAGUGUGUGUGGAUCAGAGUGAUUACUGAUAUCAGUUAGCAACAUGGUGGAGGGGACAAACUGGGGCUGCAUUUUCACUAUGUUUAUUAUUGCUCAAGGUCAAAAAGUGACUGUGUAGUGCCUCAGUUUUUACAUCUUUGUGUUAUCAAUAUUUUUUUCUAUUACCUUACAAGUUUAUUUUGAUGCUGUAAUGAUGAGACAGUGUUUUGAAAAGUUCUAAAUAAAUAAAAGGGUAUUCUCUAACUUUUAAAAAAAAAAAAAAAAAA
rnacentral:lncRNA from 1 species